rnacentral:rRNA from 1 species
UCACCCAGGCGACGAUGGAUAGCCGGCCURARAGGKGKGCCGSCCACCMCUGGGACYGARAUACGGGCCCARGCUCCUACSGGGGGGCAGCAGGKGGGGAAWWWUGCCCAUGGGSGAAAGCCUGAUGCAGCGACSCCGCGKGAGGGAAGAARGKUUUYSGRUCGUAAACCUCUGUCCAGRRGGGARGAAGGGAAGKGACGGUACCUUUGGAGGAAGCCCCCGGCUAACUACGUKCCAGCAGCCGCGGUAAUACGUAGGGGGCGAGCGUUGUCCGGAAUUAUUGGGCGUAAAGGGCGCGUAGGCGGUGACACAAGUCAGGUGAUAAAGGCACGGGCUCAACCGGUGUUAGGCACUUGAUACUGUGUUGCUAGAGUGCAGGAGAGGGGGAGUGGAAUUCCAGGUGUAGCGGUGAAAUGCGUAGAUAUCUGGAAGAACACCAGUGGCGAAGGCGGCUCUCUGGACUGCAACUGACGCUGAGGCGCGAAAGCUGGGGGAGCAAACAGGAUUAGAUACCCUGGUAGUCCCAGCCGUAAACGAUGAACACUAGGUGUAGGGGGUAUCGACCCCCCCUGUGCCGGAGCUAACGCAAUAAGUGUUCCGCCUGGGGAGUACGGCCGCAAGGUUGAAACUCAAAUGAAUUGACGG